GUCAGCUCACCGCACUCAGCCGCGCUAUGCGCUCAACACCACAGCCUCGCUCUGGAACAUCCACACCGUCGGCUGAGCGGAGCGGCUGAGCGGAGCGUUCACCAGGCUCAGCCUGCUGACUGUUUGCUAUGAUUCAGGCUCACCUCUCUGCAGCAGAUGUGCUGUGUGGCAUCAAGGUGCGACCACAGACGUGUCCUCACCCUGGAUGUCUGGAUCAGACUCAUCUUUGGGCCAGGCAUCAUCUUCUGCAGAAGGCUCAGUGAGGAGCUAAGGAGAACCCUGGGAUUAUGAUGUACAACCUGUGGCUAUUAGAGCUAUAAGUUCAGGCUGCUAAAUGUCAAAACAUGAUGAAGAAAAAAAAAACCCUCCUCUAUGGUAAUGCUAAUUCGAGCUAGCACCCAUACUGGAUUUUCAAUGGUAUGUUAGCGCUAAGCUACCGCUAGUGCACAUGACCAGUGUUUUGCUGUAUCCCACAGACAUUUAAUGUUUGUAAAAGACUUUUCAUUUCAUCUCAAGCGUGUAGCGGACUAUACUGUAUAUUUCACCCUGUAUGUAACACUUUUACAGUCUCUUUCAGUAAAGCGAGCGACAUUGAGCUGCCAUUGUGUUCCAUUUCUAACAUGACUGAAACCUGAUAAACAAUGGCUCAUAUUCACAGUCUGUGAUGUAUCUAGAACUUCACGAAAGGCUUUGAGACA